GUGCUCGCUUCAUCAGCACACGUACUAAGCUUGGAACGAUACAGAGAAGAUUAGCAUGGCCCCUGCACAAGGAUGACAUGCAAAUUCAUGAAGCGUUCCAUUUUUUU